CAGUGGUUAUGAAUCACCUGCAUCUCCCAAACGACCCAGUGAAAAUGCGCAAGGACUCAUUAAUCCAUUAUUUACUCUUUUCCUGGUGGAGCUAGACCGAUGAAGCAGCUGCCUCCAUAAGAAGAAGCCUGCAGAAGUCAAUUAAGGUCUUCCGUCUAAGGUUCCAGCUACAAGCCCAUCUUCCACUGUGUUCAAAUCUAAAGGAACUCCCAAGAGCCUGCUGUCUAAUGCGAAUUAGCCCAUCCUUGACUUCGUGACUGAAUCAUCUACAUCACCGGCAAACAUCUAAAAAUUGCAUUUGUAAUAAUAUUUUAUUUAAAAACUAUAAAGUGUUAAGAUUAGGGAUAGAGGGAUGGCUCAGUGGUUAAGAGAGCUUUCCUCUUCCUGGAGACCAAAUUUCAGCUCCUAACUUCUAUUCUGGACAACUCACAACCAGUGAGGUUUUCCUGGACCUUUGUGAACCACAGACAGACCCUCCUGUCUCAUUUACUGAAAGGGCAAAUGGGAGGGUGCAUAGAAAUACUCUGAACAACAUAACAUCGGAACAGCAAAACAUGUAGCUCUUUACAGAGAUUUAAGUGCAGCUCCUCCUCCUCCUUGAGAGGACCUCAGCCGGCCCCACUUGCGUAUGCAAUACCACCCCCACCCUCCCCCAUCUUAAGACCCAUGUUUAAACCAGUGUUAAAACAUCUUAUUAAUAAACCCCAGUACUGCUUCAAAUCCAUCCUGACAGUCUUUCCUGUCUUGCAGUCAAGAAGCCUGGCUUCACAAGAGUAGAGGUCACUGCAGUAUUCCAGAGGCUGGGCUCAUGUGGCAUGGACCUGGGUCUCUGGCUCCUGUUAAGGCUGACAAAGCUGGGUUUAGUCUCUAAGGGGAUUUACAAUAGGGAUCUACAGCAGACAUAAAUCAUGGAAUACACACAAGAUACUUUAAAUAAUAACAGUAAAUAUUUGUAUUGCUAUGGCAAUAUAAGCUUAAUACUGUUGGUUUUGCAUAGAAACUAGCUUCCCUGGUCAUAUAAAUUCUGGUGACUCUUCCGUACAGACUAAGUUGGGUUUUUGUUUGUUUUUUUGUUUUUUCCCCUGGUCAGUCAAUUUUUCUUUGAAACUUUGAAAAAAGGCGUGAAGAAAAAAAUGCAGUAGAUUUCCUUUAUAAAAUCAAAGACUAGUUGCACUAUCUCCCUUUGUCUGUUACCUGAAACUCUUCAUUUGAAAAGGAAUCUAGUUUAAACAUGGUCAAAGUUAUUGAAUAGCCCAACUUAAAAUAAAAAUAAUAAAACCUUAGCCCAUUAUUGAUGGAAGUUCAUGAACCUUGGCAAAACUCUUGUUGACCUAUACAAAUGUCAAGCUUAUUAGGAACCCAAACCAGUUGAGACUCACAGUUCCAUGUAAAGAUUUCAAAAAGCUCAACAAAUAAACAUCAUUUGUGCAACAGAGGUAUUUGAUCCUUACCUGUUGCUAAGAUUUCCCAU